rnacentral:rRNA from 1 species
GUUGUAUAGUCAAGUAAUUAAGUGCAUGUGGUGGAUGCCUUGGCAGUCAGAGGCGAUGAAAGACGUGAUAGCCUGCGAAAAGCUCCGGGGAGGCGGCAAAUAUCCUUUGAUCCGGAGAUGUCUGAAUGGGGGAACCCACCUACUUUAAGGUAGGUAUUGCAACAUGAAUACAUAGUGUUGCAAGGCGAACGAGGGGAAGUGAAACAUCUCAGUACCCUUAGGAAAAGAAAUCAAUUGAGAUUCCCUCAGUAGCGGCGAGCGAACGGGGAUCAGCCCAUUAAGUUAUGUGUGUUUUAGUGGAACGCUCUGGGAAGUGCGAACGUAGAGGGUGAUAUUCCCGUACACGAAAGGGCACACAUAAUGAUGACGAGUAGGGCGAGGCACGUGAAACCUUGUCUGAAUAUGGGGGGACCAUCCUCCAAGGCUAAAUACUCCUGACUGACCGAUAGUGAACCAGUACCGUGAGGGAAAGGCGAAAAGAACCCCUGUGAGGGGAGUGAAAUAGAUCCUGAAACCGCAUGCAUACAAGCAGUGGGAGCACCUUCGUGGUGUGACUGCGUACCUUUUGUAUAAUGGGUCAGCGACUUAUAUUCAGUAGCGAGGUUAACCGUAUAGGGGAGCCGUAGAGAAAUCGAGUCUUAAUAGGGCGUUUAGUUGCUGGGUAUAGACCCGAAACCAGGCGAUCUAUCCAUGAGCAGGUUGAAGGUUGGGUAACACUAACUGGAGGACCGAACCCACUGUCGUUGAAAAGCCAGGGGAUGACUUGUGGAUAGGGGUGAAAGGCUAAUCAAGCCUGGUGAUAGCUGGUUCUCCCCGAAAGCUAUUUAGGUAGCGCCUCGGACGAAUACCAUAGGGGGGUAGAGCACUGUUUCGGCUAGGGGGUCAUCCCGACUUACCAAACCGAUGCAAACUCCGAAUACCUAUGAGUACUAUCCGGGAGACAGACUGCGGGUGCUAACGUCCGUAGUCAAGAGGAAAACAAUCCAGACCGCCAGCUAAGGCCCCAAAAUCAUAGUUAAGUGGGAAACGAUGUGGGAAGGCAUAGACAGCUAGGAGGUUGGCUUAGAAGCAGCCACCCUUUAAAGAAAGCGUAAUAGCUCACUAGUCGAGUCGGCCUGCGCGGAAGAUGUAACGGGGCUAAAACUAUGUGCCGAAGCUGCGGAUGUAUACUUUGUAUACGUGGUAGGGGAGCGUUCUGUAAGCCGAUGAAGGUGUGUUGAGAAGCAUGCUGGAGGUAUCAGAAGUGCGAAUGCUGACGUGAGUAACGACAAAACGGGUGAAAAACCCGUUCGCCGAAAGACCAAGGGUUCCAGUCCAACGUUAAUCGGGGCUGGGUGAGUCGACCCCUAAGGCGAGGCCGAAAGGCGUAGUCGAUGGGAAAAUGGUUAAUAUUCCAUUACUUCUGUGUAAUGCGAUGAGAGGACGGAGAAGGCUAAAUCAGCCUGGCGUUGGUUGUCCAGGUGAAAGGAUGUAGGCAUGUAUCUUAGGCAAAUCCGGGGUACUCUAUGCUGAGAUCUGAUAGCAAGCUGUACUUGUACAGCGAAGUGGUUGAUGCCAUGCUUCCAGGAAAAGUCUCUAAGCUUCAGUUACACAGGAAUCGUACCCGAAACCGACACAGGUGGUCAGGUCGAGUAGACCAAGGCGCUUGAGAGAACUCUGCUGAAGGAACUAGGCAAAAUGGUACCGUAACUUCGGGAGAAGGUACGCUGUUGUUGGUGAUGGAACUCGCUUCCUGAGCUGACGACAGCCGCAGAAACCAGGCCGCUGCAACUGUUUAUUAAAAAACAUAGCACUCUGCAAACACGAAAGUGGACGUAUAGGGUGUGAUGCCUGCCCGGUGCUGGAAGGUUAAUUGAUGGGGUUAGCGUAAGCGAAGCUCUUGAUCGAAGCCCCAGUAAACGGCGGCCGUAACUAUAACGGUCCUAAGGUAGCGAAAUUCCUUGUCGGGUAAGUUCCGACCUGCACGAAUGGCAUAAUGAUGGCGGCGCUGUCUCCAGCAGAGGCUCAGUGAAAUCGAAAUCGCUGUGAAGAUGCAGUGUACCCGCGGCUAGACGGAAAGACCCCGUGAACCUUUACUGCAGCUUGACACUGAACUUUGACCUUACUUGUGUAGGAUAGGUGGGAGGCUUUGAAGCUGGAACGCUAGUUCCAGUGGAGCCGUCCUUGAAAUACCACCCUGGUAAUGUUGAGGUUCUAACUCUGUCCCGUGAUCCGGGACGAGGACCGUGUCUGGUGGGUAGUUUGACUGGGGCGGUCUCCUCCUAAAGAGUAACGGAGGAGUACGAAGGUGCGCUCAGCGUGGUCGGAAAUCACGCGUAGAGUAUAAAGGCAAAAAGCGCGCUUAACUGCGAGACCCACAAGUCGAGCAGGUACGAAAGUAGGUCUUAGUGAUCCGGUGGUUCUGUAUGGAAGGGCCAUCGCUCAACGGAUAAAAGGUACUCUGGGGAUAACAGGCUGAUACCGCCCAAGAGUUCAUAUCGACGGCGGUGUUUGGCACCUCGAUGUCGGCUCAUCUCAUCCUGGGGCUGAAGCAGGUCCCAAGGGUAUGGCUGUUCGCCAUUUAAAGAGGUACGCGAGCUGGGUUUAGAACGUCGUGAGACAGUUCGGUCCCCUAUCUACCGUGGGCGCUGGAAAUUUGAGAGGAUCUGCUCCUAGUACGAGAGGACCAGAGUGGACGAACCUCUGGUGUACCGGUUGUGACGCCAGUCGCAUCGCCGGGUAGCUAUGUUCGGAAGGGAUAACCGCUGAAAGCAUCUAAGCGGGAAGCCUACCUCAAGAUAAGAUUUCCCUAGGACUUUAUGUCCUCUAAAGAGCCGUUCGAGACUAGGACGUUGAUAGGUUGGAUGUGGAAGCAUAGUGAUAUGUGAAGCUGACCAAUACUAAUUGCUCGUGAGGCUUGACUAUACAACACCCAAGCAGUUG